rnacentral:rRNA from 1 species
AGAGUUUGAUCCUGGCUCAGGAUGAACGCAACACAUGCAAGUCGAACGGGAAAGGGGGCUUCGGCCCCUGAGUAGAGUGGCGAACGGGUGCGUAACACGUGAGUAAUCUGCCUCAGACUCCGGGAUAACAUCCCGAAAGAGUUGCUAAUACCGGAUAGUUCCCAUGGGUGAUGCCCUUGGGGGAAAGGUUCGCCGGUCUGAGAUGAGCUUGCGGCCCAUUAGCUUGUUGGCGGGGUAAUGGCUCACCAAGGCAUCGAUGGGUAGCUGGUCUGAGAGGACGAUCAGCCACACUGGCACUGAGACACGGGCCAGACUCCUACGGGAGGCAGCAGUGGGGAAUUUUGCGCAAUGGGCGAAAGCCUGACGCAGCAACGCCGCGUGAAGGAUGAAGGCCUUCGGGUCGUAAACUUCUGUCUGGGGGAAAGAUGAUGACGGUACCCCCAAAGCAAGCCCCGGCUAAUUCCGUGCCAGCAGCCGCGGUAAUACGGAAGGGGCGAGCGUUGUUCGGAAUUAUUGGGCGUAAAGGGCGUGUAGGCGGCUUCGUAAGUUGGAUUUGAAAGCCCGAGGCUCAACUUCGGAUCCGGAUCCAAAACUAUUAUGCUAGAGCAGAUCAGAGGGCAAUGGAAUUCCCGGUGUAGCGGUAAUAUGCGUAGAGAUCGGGAGGAACACCAGUGGCGAAGGCGGUUGCCUGGGGUCUUGCUGACGCUGAGGAACGAAAGCUAGGGGAGCGAACGGGAUUAGAUACCCCGGUAGUCCUAGCUGUAAACGAUGGGCACUAGGUGUCAGGAGCUUCGACCCUCUUGGCGCCGUCGCUAACGCAUUAAGUGCCCCGCCUGGGGACUACGGCCGCAAGGCUAAAGCUCAAAGGAAUUGACGGGUCCCCGCACAAGCAGUGGAGCAUGUGGUUUAAUUCGAUGCUACGCGAAGAACCUUACCAGGGCUUGACAUCCCGGUGACCGCUUUUGGAAACAUUAGCUUCCCUUCGGGGCACCGGUGACAGGUGGUGCAUGGCUGUCGUCAGCUCGUGCCGUGAGGUGUCAGAUUAAGUUCUGUAACGAGCGCAACCCUCGUUUUCAGUUGCCAUCAUUAAGUUGGGCACUCUGGAGAGACUGCCAGCGUCAAGCUGGAGGAAGGUGGGGACGACGUCAAGUCAUCAUGCCCCUUACGUCCUGGGCUACACACGUGCUACAAUGGGCGGUACAACGGGUUGCCACUCCGCGAGGAGGCGCGAAUCCCUUAAAGCCGUUCUCAGUUCGGAUUGGAGGCUGCAACUCGCCUCCAUGAAGUUGGAAUUGCUAGUAACCGUGGAUCAGCAUGCCGCGGUGAAUACGUACCCGGGGAUUGUACACACCGCCCGUCACACCAUGGAAGUUGGUAACACCCGAAGUCCGUGAGCUAACCGCAAGGAAGCAGCGGCCGAAGGUGGGACUAAUGACUGGGGUGAAGUCGUAACAAGGUAACC